rnacentral:misc_RNA from 1 species
GAUGAAGAACGUAGCGAAAUGCGAUAAGUAAUGUGAAUUGCAGAAUUCAGUGAAUCAUCGAAUCUUUGAACGCACAUUGCGCCCGGGAGCAUUCUCCCGGGCAUGCCUGUUCGAGCGUCAUUUCAACCCUCGAUUUCCCUUUGGGGAAGUCGGCCGUUGGAGAUCGGCAGCACUGCCGGCUCCCAAAUACAGUGGCGACCCGCCGCGGGGACCCCUGCGUAGUAACUUACACUCGCACCGGAAACCAGACGUGUCACGCCGUAAAACCCCCAACUUUCUGAACGUUGACCUCGGAUCAGGUAGGAAUACCCGCUGAACUUAAGCAUAUCAAUAAGCGGAGGA